rnacentral:lncRNA from 1 species
CACACAUCAGCUGAGCCCCUCACCUCACCCCUAAUCCCAUUAUCGCUCCCCCAGGCUCAUCUCUAGCAGGCCUGGUUUUAUUCCCUUCCCCCUUCAUAUAUAGUUUAAAGCACUUUCUACAGGUCCUGCCAGCUCCUGGGCAAGGAUCCGUUUCCUGCUAUGAGACAGGUGAUACCCACCUGCAGACCUCAGGCCAGGUGCCAAGUACCCAUGAUCGCCCCAUGAUCAAAGAACCCGAAAUUCUUGCGUUUGCACCAGCCUCUCAGCCAUGUGUUUAUGUGACAGGCAUUCUUGGUCAUUGCAUUGUCCUUCUCUGCCACUGCAGGAAUACCUGCAAAUACUACUUGUAUGCCUGCUCUGUCAACUAAACUCUCCAGCCCCCUAAAAUCAUUUUUUAUAGCCCUUAGGCUUCUGACAGCGACCUCAUCACUGCCAGCCUGAACAAAAAAUAACAGAUAGUUAUCAGAGGGGUGGAGAGUAUAUGAGAAUAUACACCAAGAAUAUAUGAGAGUAUACAACAAGAAAUUUGAUCCUUUGCUUACAUCCCCCGUAGCAACGACUGUGCUUUGUCUUCUCCACAGCAACACAGUGCUCCCCUGACACCCCACAGUCAAGAUUAGGGCCCACACACGGCACCAAAGGCACACACUUCUGCCACUUGAGCUCAAGCUACCUUUACUAGAAAUGCAAGUAAGAAGCAGGUUGGGACAGUGGGCUAGGGGCACUGUAGGAUGGAGCUACGAUCCUAUACACACACUGCCCAGGGCUUGCGUUGGCUCCUGCCACCCAAAUCAGCCCCCGUCCUGUGGCUGAUUAUGCAGAAAGCACUGCUUUACAUAGUAUGUACUUAUAUAGGGUGCGUACAGUGAAUCUGGUUGGGUUCCUUUCCUAGCAAAUCAGUAUUUUAGGAAAUAGCUGGUGGGUUUCGGGGUCUUAGCUCAAGGCAACCUAGAAGAAAGCCCAGUUGUCAAGCCUGCCAGAUCAGGCCCAGAAACCAGGAAACACCAGAGUAAC